GCAGGUUCAACUACCUCGUCAGUUCGUAGAUGCUCACUGUAUCUAGUACCACCUCAUUGUCUUAUUCAUAAAUUAAAUACCCAUUGACCAUUGGAGUGACUAGUAGUCUGCUCAAGCAAACUAAAUGUUAGGCUUCUUCCACUUAUGUGGAUCUUUGAAUCACUUAAGUGGCAGCUACGAUCACCAGUCUAGAGUGGUACCUUAAUGUACAAUGAACUGUUUGCAUUUUUUUGUCGUAAAUAAAUCAAUACUUGAAGUAUCCAUAAUUAAGUGAUGGAAAGCUAAGUUUGUUAUGUAUUUACCAGGAUAUGCAGGUUUAUUGUUCUCUGUAUUUAAGUUGGUUGUUCCAUCACCAGUAGGAACAGUUGGAACUCACAAAUUCUCCAUGACACUUGUGGUUAGGUAAAAAAGGUCAAUGAACCAAAAGGUCAUCCAGUCCUAUAGUUGUUGGUUGUUCCCAUAGCUCAUGUUGAACAUGUUCUCCUAAAUUAACAUGCACUUUCUUUCUGUUUGAUGGCUCACACAUAAUAACUCUUAAAAAAUGGUGUGGAUUAGCAAUUUCUUAGCUAACUUAUCGCUUUCUUUGAUUUGCUGUGCAAUCCUCUUCAGUUUGGACAUUAAUGCCGAACAACACCUUCCAUUUUUUCUGUUAUAUCAACAAUAAAUAAUGUUCACUAGCAUGUUUCCAGCAUUCAAAAUGAAAUGUUCCUAACUAAAGGUGUUACUUAUGUGCAUCUUAAUCAGUAACAUAAACUUGGAGGUUUUAUUUUAGUAAAUUGUGUACGUAUUGUUCUCCAUUGUCAUGAGUAUUCCAAGAAAAGCAUGGUUCAUCCUUCUAAUUUAUGAUAUUUCUGCUUUUGAUUGCGUGUUCAAAGUUUCAGUUGUGUAUUUGUGUUGCUUUGACAGGAGAUAUUAUAAUGAUGUGAAGGAUUGUUGGUUCAAUGAGAAUUUUCAGGAGGUGGCAAAAGUUGUGGUUAUAACAACAGUAAUCAAAUGAGAUAUCCAGACUGGACAAUUCUGUGGGAGAGGAAGCUAAUAUAUUCCUUUAAAGUGUGGAAGAUACUGAUAUAUACGAAGUAGAUUUGUUAUGCAAGAUGAUGUAUUUGUAGUACUCUGUUUGAUACGAUUACUAAGAUUGUCAACUUAUGUAAAUUUGUGUUCA
rnacentral:lncRNA from 1 species